CUGUAGACACAUAUAUAUUCAUAUAUUCUGUAUAUUUCUGUCUUUACUCUUUCAGUCCUGAUGAAAACAUCAGUGUUUACAGUUUUGAUCAAAAAGGUACAGACUGUUAGAUUAGAUGUACACAAUCAAAAAUAAAUCAGUUUACAAAAAUGUUCUUCAUUUUUCAGGUAUUGAUCAAAUUUAUUAAGAAGAACCGGCCUGAGAAACUAGUGGAAUUGCCUGGGUAUUCCAACCCUUUAAGUCAAGAGGCAGCUGCAAUGUUGAUGGUGCAAAAGCCUCCAACUAGCGAGCAUCUCGUACAACUAUAUGAUCACUUUGUCAUGGAAGAUCAAGACAUCUUGAUUAUGGAGUAUCCACGUUCCUACAUCAGCCUGUUUGAUUAUGUCCAACGAAACAGCAGUAACCUGACCGAAACCGAGGUGAAACUCAUCAUUCAGGGGCUCAUUGUUGCUCUUCAUCACUGCAUGAGUCGUGGUGUUUAUCGUCGCACGCAUAUGAAAAACAUCCUUGUCCACACAAAACCCUGCAUGUAAAGCUGAUGGACUUUGGAGGCGCACUGCUCGUCGAAGAAAGACGAGAUGAUGAACCUCUAUUAAUCAGUGCAAUCAGAAAAUAUGCUGAAUGGGCAACAACUGAGGACUUACGCAUACUGCUGGAUCUGAUGGUCCCGAGAAUAACUCGUUGCUUUUGGAUGAGACCACGCGUGUCCAAAGAAUGCCUGGAUCUUCUUGAGCACCUUCAUGAUGUAAAGUCACGGAUGACGUUACAGGCUAUGUUGAAGCAUGACUGGUUUAAAAGAAAAACUGAAGCAUAAGAAAAGUUCCCCUGCAUUGGCAGCUCAGGGCCUAUAGUUCAGCUGUAUGGGUCAUCAGCCGGGGACGGUUCACGCUUUAACCCUGGAGCGUGGAUAAGACCACGUGUGUCCAAAGGUUCCCCUGCAUUGGCAGCUCAGGGCCUAUAGCUCAGCUGCGGGGUCAUCAGACUGGGACCCCGGGGACGGUUUACGGCUUUAACCCCGGGACGUUCCCCUUCCACCCCUGCAUGAUGACACUCAUGGCAACUGUCCUCUACUUGUGAACUGUUUGUGUGCCACCAACCCUCUCAGAACAUUAUCGCGUCCCACUGAUAGCAGUGCGAGCCCCACCUUGCAGCCUGACAGGAUGUGCUGGAGGCUUACAUUUGGACUCCGUUCUUCCAGGCCAGACCACCAUGUUUCAGACAAGCGUCGUGGCAAGCCCAGCCAUUUUCCUGAAUUACUGUGGACAGUGGAUUUCACACAACUUCAGUGUCACACAGUUUAACGCCACACCUUGUACUUGCCUGGAAGCUGGCUUUAAUCAAUCCUUCCUUAGUGAAAAAAUAGCACAAUUUAUUCAAAUGUAAUUUAGUGUAACUAAAUGUAUUUGUGGCACACUGUAAAUUGUUAUACUUAAAGUCUGUUCAAGUGGAUCAACUCAUUUUGUACUAAAUGCAUUUUAGUUGUCCAAAAGCAGUGCUGAAGUUCAGGUUGUAUUAAUUGUAAACUUGAAGUGUGCUAAUGGCAUCAUUAUUGUGUGAUUCUAAUACAAUAAAGUGAUCUUUAAAAAUAAUGGCACAGCUUAGGAAUUUGCCUUUUACUGGUAUUUUACAGACACCCCCUAGUAUACCAGUAAAGCUCACUUAUCUAGAGAUCAGAGAGACAUUGGGAACAGAUAUAUGUACACCCAUGGAUUCAAACCCGGGUCUGUAAAUGUUAGAAAGUCAUGCAAAUAUUUCCAUUUUGCUGCUAAACUUCACAGUGAACAAGCGCAAUAGAAGUGCAAUAAUUCUAAAAUAUACAUUUCGCUAAAAUACGAGGCGUCUAAUCGACGGUAAUCCAUCCAUAUCAGCUGUGCCAACACGCAUAAACUGGAGCGGGAUUGCAUGACACUUGUACGUACAAUCAAUCAUUUCUCCUCUCAAACUCACUAGAGCAUGUCCAAAGCAACAGGCCGGAGUUAUGAAAUAUUCGGUGUCUGAGAUUUCCGGUGACACUGGGCGGAGCUUACAUGAAUAUUCACGAGGCUACAACUGUUUUGAUUUUAUUUUAGUUCGUUUGAGGAGAUAACUUGUAUAAAUGUAUCUGUGGUUGCAUAACAAAAGUUUCAGUUGUGAUUGUGUCAUUCCCUAUUGCUUUCUCAGAUAGCCUGCAUAACUUUAACCAGGCAUUAUUAUUUUUAAAACACAUUGAGAGUUAGAUUUAUGUUCUGUUUAUAUUUUUGACAUGCAUUAAUUAAUGUAAACCUUCUUUAUCCUUUUCUGCAAAACACACAAUGCUCUCUAUAUGAACAGAAACAUGAUGAGACAGUGAUAUUAGCUUCCCUGCAGCACUUUCACAAGGUUUUAUUUUAAUGCGCUUUCCACAACAAUUAAAAUGUUAAAAUUGAAUUACAAGUGGUUAAAUUGAUCAGCUACAAAACUAAAAGUUACUAAUGCAGGUUUUAUUUAAAAAUAUUUAUAUGGAGAAGACAAUUGGCAAAAGUGUGAGGAAUAUU